UACAAAACCACAAGCUAUCUAACUACAUUUGAUGGAGAUACUGUACUUGAAAGGCUGAAUUUUGGGUUCCUGUACAUAGGGAUUGAGAAUUCUCUACCACAGCUUUGUUAUAAGAAAUUGACACAAGGCCAGGCGUGGCUGCUCACGCCUCUAAUCCCAGCACGUAGGGAGGCCUAGGCAGGAGGAUCACUUGAGUGCAGGAGUUUGAGACCAGCCUGGGCAAUCUAGUGAGACCUCCUCUCUGAAAAAGUUGACACAUGAUGUGAAUUGGGUAUCACAGAAGAUGUUUUUAACAGGACCAAAUAAGAUAUUUCUCUUACCCUUUUAGGACUGAGGUUUUGCCAAUACAUUAGGCAAGGACUGGCUAACACUUGAUAUCAUAAUACUAUAGGUACAACAGAAUCUUUCUUUUUUGUUGAUGCAUUUAUAAUAUAAUAUUGAGUGGGAGUUUUCCCAUUGCCCCGUAAUUAUGAUUAUGCCCCAAAACUGAGAAUAAAAUUAUUAAAUACUUCACAUUCUAAGUUAAAAUAACUGAAUAAUCCCAUAGUAUUAGCCAAGUAGUGUCACAAGCAUACCUAUCACCACCACCACUACCUCACCACCACCACUCCUACUCACCCUUCAUUAAAAAAAUGGUAGGCCUGAGAGAAAAUAAGGAGGCCUUUUGGAGAAUCAGUUUGUGGACAGGACUGUUCCCAAUAUAUAAUUGGAGUCGGGGUUGCAUGAAGAGAAUUAUAUCCAAAGAUUGGGAUUACCAAAAUAAGAGGCAUAUUUCUUUUCUCUGUUGGGUGUUUGCUGGGACAGAGGACUUGCUGAGCUCCUGGAGCUAUAUGAGUAGAGGAAAGAGAAUUUGCAAGAGAUGAUAGACUAACAGAGGCCAGGACAGCAAGAAAGUGGUCUUCAUGCCCAUCAUUUAGUGUGUCAAGAAUAACGGAGAUUCCCAUGGAUGGUAUGAACACCAGGGAAAGUAGGUGAGCUUCAGCCAUUUUGUCAGUAUGCGCGCUGACCUCAGCAAGAGGGAAUCUCUGCAGCAAGAGAAAUUAAAGUGGUUCAGUAAACUGGAUCCAGAUGACCAACAUCAGGAAACUACAUAAUGGGAAGCCCCUGCAGGCUCCCUCAAAGAAGCCUCAUUAUAGAUCUAGCUUUUGGAUACUGUCACACAGAGGUUAUCAAAAUCCAGUUAAUGAGGACUGCAUCCUUACCCAGUCAAGUAAGAAAAUAAUCGCCCUUUUCUCUGUACUUGGGGUCGGGGGAGAGUAGAGGGGAAUAGUGUAAAGAGCUUUGAAUUGAGCUGGAGAUUGAAGCUUUAAAGUUAACAACAUGAUUCUUUAAUAUAUUGUGAUUGUUCUAAUAACUUUAAAUAACUGAAAAAUCAGAGAAUCUAUGUAGGAUAUAAUUAAAGGAGUCAUCCCUCUUUUUUUCUAUUUGAUUUUAAAACUUAAGUAAAGCCAGGAACUACUAUUUUUAAAGGCACUGAAAAAUAACUUAUGAUUAGAAAACAUAUAUUUUUAUAUACUGGCAUGUGUAGGUCACACUACAAAUAUACUUUAUGCUUUCCAGUUAAAAGGUAAUGGUGUUCUUGAAGAUAUGUUAGAAAUCCAAAAUAAUAAUUUAAGAUAAGUUGGAAGACAUGGUAGAUUACUCACUGCAUGCUAUAAAUUGAGUGCAGAGCUAACAAGUGUGGUAUGUUGGUAUGUGUAGUUAGAAAAAUUGACUUUUAUGAGUUUAUUCAAUAAAAUUAGAAUACUUUCAAUUCUUUUAUUUUUGCUUCAUUCCAUCUGCCUUCCAGAUAUCACUGACUUUAUUACAAAGGUGUUUAAAGUUAACAUUAUUAAUCUACAUAUACUUGUUAUUCUGCAGAGUAAAAUCUUCUAAUCUUUAUGUUUCUAAAAGCAUGACUUUUAAAAAAAGUAACCACACAGUUACAACCAGGCAUCUAGGUAUUGUAACUGUAUUUCCUUUCCAUUUUCAAAUUGUGUUCUGUUUUUAUUUUUGAAUCAAUGUUAAAUAACAGGUAACUGUUUGUAACUUUAGAUACAAUAUUUUACUAAAAAGAUCAUAAAUGUUCCAUAAGCUUAUAUACUUUUUGUACUUCUUUUACUAACCUGGAAGUAAUAGAUUUGAUUUGCUUUAAAAAAUAACUUUUUUUCUUCAUAAAACCCUUCCUUUCAAAUCCUGUCUACAGUGUCUCCUUCUGUCUUCUGAAUUUACUUUCGUAUUACCUAUGUGACACUUAUUAGUUUGGUGCAAAAGGAAUUGCAGUUUUUGCAAUUACUUUUUUAAUGGCAAAAACCAACCUAAUAGUAUGUGUUGUCUUGUGUCUGUUUUAGCUUCCAAAAAUAGACCAUACAUUUUCCAAGGACAAAGAUCCAAUUCUUAUCAGUUAGCAUAAUGAUUGUUUCCCAAAGUAAUUCUUCCACUAUACUUGUAAAACUCAAAGUUAUAUUUUAUCUAGAUAUCUACCUAUCUAUAUCUAAAUAUAGAUAUAGUAUAGUAUACAAAAUUAUGCUAUACUAAAAUUGAAAUCUUUUUAAAAUUGAAAGGGUUUAUUUAGUCUACCUCCUUGAGAUAGAGAAAAAAAGGCUUUCCAUCAUCCCUCCUCUGUCUUUGGUGGUUAAGGUUCUAUUACCUGAAAAAUUGUGUAGCCAAAGCGCCAAUAACCAGCUUGUACGUAUAAAAAGUUGAUCCUAAGUAGUACUAUAUAGAAAUAAAUUUAAACCUAAAAUGUUUUUGUUUUAUAUUGACACCAAAAUAUUUUGCUUUUAUAUCUGUACAGUCUGAAAAUUCAAAAGAGAAGCAAUUUAAAGGACUUCCAUUUACUUCUUUCCCCUCUAAUCUGCACAAAAGGUUAAAUGUAGCAGUGCAGCAGUUCUGGCCAUCAAAAUAUGAUUAUUGUACUUUAAAAGCAGCCAUGAGAACUCUGCUCUUUGAUAGACUUCAACUUGCAACAACUAAGGUAACAUAUUAUCUGGUUCUACCCAAAAAUACAUAUCCUCAUCCUACUUAUCUUAGAUCAUGUGUAAGAUUCAGUUAUGUUUAAGCUGUCCUUCGGAAAAACUCACAGGUUAAUCUUUAGCACCCACUCUCUACUCACUUUAGGUCCUUAUCCCUGAUGACUACUUUAUUUCUUGCAGGAAUAAUCCAGUUCCAGAGGAGAUUAGGAGUUGGGUGAGAGGAUAGACUCUAAUCUUAGAGAAAUAAGGUAUUGUACAAGUUAUCAAGGCCUAGCAAUCCAACUACUUUGACCAGAAUUAUUACAGAAAGUUGGAAAAAGAUUAACUUGAUGCAGAGUUAUCUGAGCUGUGGACACUGCGCUUCUUCAGUUUUUCCUAACAAGUUUGAACAGGUCAGUGUUGUCACUUGUUAGGAAAAACUAACCAUGAUUGAAGUGUCACCUUUGGGCAGAGCUGAAAUUUACUUGUUUGAUACAUGAUCUUCUCAAAGUCCAGUGAUCGCUACUUUGAAAAGGAUACCAAGCAGUUAAUCUAAUAAUAUAACCAAACAUGGUGCCCUGUGCUACUUACUGCACAGGUUGCAUGCCUAUGAAGCAGAUCCUCUAAAUAAGAAGUGCAAGCAAAUAAUGAAAAUCUUAAAAGUCUAUUACUUUAACUAACAGAACUUCUAGUUUUGUCUCCUAUGAGAACUCUUAAGAGUAUGUAUGCUUAUUAAGGUUUUACUUGGAAAAUUAUUUGAUAUCGUAAUCAUAAAGAGUUAUUAGCUGUUUUCUCCUAAUGCAAGUUAAAAUGUAUAGCUAUGUUAAAAAUUCAUAUAUUAGUCCUAGUUAAACCAUAUUUUUAAUAUUUUUCUAAAUAACAAAAAUUCAGACUCUCUAAGGAGAAAAAAUUAUCAGUUUUUGGUCUUAUUUUCUAUGUGAAUGGCAUCAGGUUGAAGUUAUCAUAGUUUUAGUAGAACAUUAUUUUGGCCUCACUAAUAAAAAAAAAUAUGCUUUACUGAGGGAACCCAGUGUUAUGCCAAGGACUUGCUUCAUUGUCCUGAUCAUUAAUAAUCAUUAGACAAAGAACUAGGGAAAAAACACCACAUUUCACAUUUGUCAGACAAGCUUAUGACUUUAAAACCUAAAAAGUAUAGCAACUAAAUUGCAGUGUGGUUAAUCGAGCUUAUUCAGUUUACAUAUUGUUAUAAUGUGGAAAGUGGAAUUUGACCAAGAACCUUUCAACCCAAUCUAUUAUAACAGAUUUAAUUGCCCUUCUGUCCUUAAAAACUUUAUGACAGUUAAGAAAGCUAAGCUAAAGUUUUUUUAAAUUUCUGAUUUUGACUUUUAGGUUAGCUACCUAACUAGUGGAUGAAAUUGAUAAAUAGGCAUGAUGAUUUUCACUGUGACAGUUUGUUGUGAAAUAAAUUUAAAAUGCAGAACUUAAGUUUCAGCCUUCCUAAAUUGCUCCCUUGGACUUUACAACUUACUGUUGCCCUUGAGAAACUGGAUCGCUGAAUGAAAUCUCUUUUCACACUACCUUCUCUCUAGCAAUCCACUGUUUAACAGAUGGAGAUACCCUAACCCUUGCCUCAGAGGGCUUCAACCCUAGAGAGAGUGAGGCAGGCAAUAGAAAAAUCACAAGUAAAAUUUUGGUAUGUUAGAUGUGGUUAGGUACUAUGGGAGAAAGAUAAAGCAAAGAAGGAAUGUAAGGAGUCUGGGUAGAGGUAGGAGCAUGGAGGAUUAUAAUACUAAAUCCGAUAAAAAGAAAGUCUGAAAAGACAACUACAUAGAAACCUGGAGGAAGAAAAGUACAAGCCAUUGAAUAUCCAGGGAGGAGCAUUUCAGGCAAAGGGAGCUGCACAUGCAAAACCCCAGUGUGUUCAAGGUCCAGCAUGAAGACCAAUGAGGCUGGAAAGUAGUGUGCAAAGUGGAAGCUCACUAGGAGACGAAGUAAAAGAUGUAAUGAGGUGAGAGUAGAAGGAGUCCAAUGAAGAAGAGUAGAGAGUUCCAAUCAUAAGUCACUCUAAGCUAUUUUGGUAAUUUUGAUUUUUACUCUAAGUGAAAUAAGCCUUUGGAGGACUUGAAGUAGAGAGGUGACAUGAUCUAUUUUAUUAAGAAGAGCUAACUGAAUUGGGGCAAGAAGCAGAAGCAGGAGGAAGGCCAGGUAGGAUACUAUAGGAAUAUUCCAGGUAAAAGGAGAUAAUGACUUGAAACAGAGCAGUAACAGAGGUGGUGGUGAGAAGCAGUCAGCUUCUGAAUGUAGAAUAAAGAGCCAUUAAAUCCAUUUAGCUUAUCAUUGACUGAAGUACUGUUUUUAUAAUUAUUUGUGAUAUAUACUUUCAUAGUAAAAUGUUUGAAAAUAUAGGUAGGUGAAAAAGUAAAAAUCACUCAGAACCUCACUCUAAACAUUUGAUGGAUAGUCUUUCACUUUUUCUAAAUGUAUGUGUGUAUGUAGCUUAUAUUUAUUCAAAUGUGAUCAUACAAAAAUCAUUUUAUUACCCAUUAUAUGUAUUUUUAUAUAUUGUGAUAAUUUCCUAUUUCUUUAAAUAUUUUCUCACACCAUAGUAUUAGUGGCUGAAUAAUGUAGUUUGGAUAUAGCAUAAUUUAGCCAUUUUAUAGAUAGAACAGUUUAUUUAUCCAGUAUUCUAUUGUUGGCCAUUUAUACAUUUUCCAGUUUUUCUGUAUUAUAAAUACCACUUAAAUGAACAUCUGCAUUGCUAUAUCUUUGAAAAUGUGGUCACUGUAUUACUUAGGAAUCUCUGCCUAUUUAAACAAUUUUUUUCAUCAUAUUUAUUUUUUCAUUGUGUUUAUUUUUAAUCAAAGAAUUACUUUUUUCUUUUUUUUAUUAUUUCAGUAGUUUUUAUGGAACAGGUGGUGUUUGGUUAUGUGGAUAGGUUUUUUGGAAUACUACUCAGCCAUAAAACGGAACAAAAUAAUGGAAUUCCCAGCAACCUGGAUGGAGUCGGAGACCAUUAUUCUAAGUGAAGUAACUCAGUGAGAACAAAUAUCGUAUGUUCUCACUUAUAAGUGGGAGCUCUUAAAAGUGGGAGCUAAGCUAUGAGGACACAAAGGAACUUAGUUAUUACCAGGAACAGAUGACCAGUUGCAAGAACUGUCACUAUUUUAACAUUCUCCAUCAGCUGUGGCCAUGUUGGAUUUCUGGCACCUGAGCAUUCACAUCCAUCUGUUUAUAGGGCAUUAUGCCCACUCAUGAGGUUUAUUCCAGUUUCAAAAAGUCAUGUGUAAACCAAGAUUGGAAAUAUAUAUUCCUUGAGAAAUAGAGACACAGACACACAAGGGAGAGUGCCAUAUGAAAAUGGAGGCAGAAUGGAGUGAUGCAUCUACAAGCCAAGGAACACCAAAAAUUGCCAGCAACUACUAGAAGCUAGAAGAGGCAAGAAAGGACUUUCUAGAGCCUUUGGAAAGCAUGAUUCUGCCACAUCUUGAUUUUGGACUUCCAGCCUCUAGAACUGUGAGAGAGUAAGUUUCCAUUGUUUUAAACCACCCAAUUUGUAUUAAUUUGUUAUAGAAGCCCUGGGAAACAAAUAAACUACUUUAGAUCAGUUAGGAAGGCUUCUUGAACUAUAUGACAUUUAAACAGAGACAUAAAUGAUGAGACUGUCCCAGCCAAGUUAAAAAUAUCACUGGGAAUCAAACUCACUGGUGUUAUUCCAGCUCAGUGGUAAAUGUUCUACUGGUAUUUUAAAUAAUUCUAAAAUAAAGUCAUUAUUUUUCUUUGCACUCCAAAGUCCUUCUUUGCAAAAACUAUAUGAAGUAGGCAUUAAUAUUCAGACUUACUAUAUAGAGGCUAAGGAACUUAGACCUAGUAAGUAGCAGAGCCUAGAUUCAAGCUCAGGUAACCUAGCUUCAGGAGCCUGUAAUUUAAACCAUCAGGUUAUACUGACUCUAUUCUCAACCUUAUGCAGUGUGCUUUCAUUCUUCCCACAAGCUUCCAAGGUGUCCUUUUUUGUGAUAUCCCAUGGAAUCCAGUCUCAUAUGUGAAAUUUAGCUUUUCUUUUUUGUCUCCUACUUUUCCUCUUUUCCUUUAUAAUGAUAGUAGUACAGAUUGCUAAAUGUAUUGAGCACUAAGUGUGCCAGCUCUUUUAAUUCAAACAACAACCAUAUGAGGUAGAUACUAUUAUCAUCCUCAUAUUCCAGAGGAUAUUUCUAUGGCUUAGAGAGGUUAAGUGACAUAUGUGGGAUCAUAAUACUAAUAAAUGGCAGACCCUGGGUUGGUUGGAUCUGUCUGACUUCAAAGCUUCUACUUUUAAAAAAAUUCGAUGUAAAACCAAGGUAUAACUUACAUGAUUUAAGAUGCACAACUCCUAAAUAUUUAGUAUGAUGAACUCUGAUAUGUUCUAUACCUGUGUAAUUAUCAUCACCCAGAACAUUCCCUGAUGGAAAGACUCCUUAAUCACCCCCCUUAACAGUAGAUAAUCCUCCAAAGAUAAACAACAUUCUGUUAUAUAUCACCAUGAAUUAACUUUAUUUUUGAACUUUCUAGAAGUAGAAUCAUAUAGUAUAUUUUCUUCAGUGUCUCAUUUCUUUCCAGAGUCCUUAUUUUUAAUGACCAUGUUAUACUUUGUCCAACAAAACUGCCAAGUCCUCUGUCCUAUUUUCCUAGGCUCUUGCUAAGUAACCUAUGUUGAUGAUGUAAUAUGCUAAUUCUUGCUAAAAUAUUAGUGGGUGAAAAUUGUUUAAGUUACUUUUUUGGGGGGAUAACUUAUUAGUAUCAUAACUGACCUUAAGCUGAGAAGAAUGACUAUUAUGAAAAUUCUAAGUAGAGUCUGAGAGACUUUUAGGCAAAAGGGGCCUAGCUAGUUCCAGUUUUAUAUGGUUUGUUAACUUUAGGAAAGAUGCUCAUAAAUGAAUGCAUAGAAGGAAAGCAAAAGCUGAAAAAAAGGGGGAAACUGAAAGUAUGUAAAUACUUCUGGGCAAAGAAAGGCUGUAUGAGUUUUAUGGUAUUGGGAGAGGGGAGUGUCCUGGUCCAUUUCUCCUGCUGUAACUAAAUACCUGAGACUUAGUAAUUUAUAAACAAUAGACAUUUAUUUCUCUUAGUUCUGGAGGCUCAGAAGUCACAGAUCAAGGCACCAGCAAGUCUGAUGACUGGUAAAGCCCCAUUUUCCAUAGAUGGUGCCAUCUAGGUGUCCUUACAUGGUAGAAGGGCAAAAAGGGAACAAAUGUUUUUUCCUCACAUGGCAAAAGAGCAGAAAGGCAAGAGAGAGCUCCCUUCAACCUUUGAGCCCUUUUAUAAGGGUGCUAAUCCCAUUUAUGAGGUCAGAGCCCUCAUGACUUAAUCAUCUCUCUCUUAGUACUCUUGCAUUGGGGAUUGAGUUUCAACAUGAAUUUUGGAGGGGACACAAAUAUUCAAAUCAUAGCACUGGUACACUAAUUGUGGACCUUUAAAAUUUAUUUCUAAAAUGUAAAUGUUGUAUCUAUAACUGAAAUUGAAAUACCACAGAAGAAAUCUUAGAUGUAUAAAAAGAAAUGUUAAUGUCAUAUAGAAAAAUGAACAUUGAAGUUGUCAAAAGUUUUGGGUUCUAGUCACUGCUCUGCAGCUUACCAGCUAAUUACCUCGCUUAAAUCACCUAAUCUUUCUGAGUCAACUUCAGUAUAUGCAUAAAAACAUUUACCCUGCCUGACAGGAUUGGUGUGAAGAUUAAAUAUGAAAUAAGCUAGUUUAUAUUAAUGUGCUUUAUAAAGUCUCAUAUAUGAAGCUUUAUAUAUAUACACAUAUCACUGUCAUAAAAUAGUUAAUACAAUAUUAGAUAUAUGAAAAAUUGAAUACUGUAACCACCUGAUGCAAUAGAAAGUCUUAAUGACAUUGUUUUUGAAGAACUUCUAAUUUAAUAACCCAGGCUUCCAGUCACUCAGUUCAAGUUUGUCAGAACUCUAAAUGAAUGGAUUUGGAAAAAUACAAGAGCAAUUUUCUUUCCCAUUUCCUUUUGCUUUUACAUUUCACCUCUUCUCAGUGAUAAAUUUUGUUGGAAAGCAAGACAUAAUUUUUUUACUUUUACCCUUUUCCUUAGAGUUUCUUGCAUGUCACACGUGAAUUUGCCUAGGGAUUCUCCUGUAACAAGAAUUAUUUAAUUGUCAGGUAAGAGUGUGAAGAAUUUAUUAGAAAAAUGUGAAAGACUUCAUACUGAUAACCAAUUAUUAUUAUUAUUAUUAUUUUGAGACCGAGUUUCGCUCUUGUUGCCCAGGCUGUAGUACAGUGGCGCAAUCUUGGCUUACUGCAACCUCCCCCUCCCGGGUUCAAGUGAUUCUCCUGCCUCAGCCUUCCUGAGUAGCUGGGAUUACAAGCAUGCGCCACCAUGCCCGGCUAAUUUUGUAUUUUUAGUAGAUAUGGGAUUUCUCCAUGUUGGUCAGGCUGGUCUCGAACUCCCGACCUCAGAUGAUCUGCCUGCCUCGGCCUCCCUAAGUGCUGGGAUUACAGGCGUGAGCCACCGUGCCCUGCUGAUAACCACUUACUAAUUUAUAGCCAAUUUAAAAAAAUUGGCGUGGGGUGGGGAGGCACGCUGGGUAGGAGGAUGGGUAGUAAUAAUAUGUUCCGCUUUACUUUGGACUGCCAUCUACUGGUAAAUUAAGUCAGACAAUGUUUGACAAACAAAACAAUUAUGUUCAGAGAUUAGAACAAGGAACUUGUUGAAGAAUGACAUCAGCAAAAUAGUGGAACAGAAGUUCCUAGUACUCAUCUCACAGAAACAUAAAUUUAAACAUCUAUCCACACUAAAAAAAUACCUUUACAAGAACUAAGAAAUUCAAGUGAGGGAUUAUAGCACCUGGAUGUAGCAUGGAAAUAAGAAAACAUGUAUUCAUGACGACAGGAAAGACAGUUUUACAUUACCUGUGUGCUAUGGUUUGAAUGUGUCCUCUCCAAACUUCAUGUGCUGAAACUUAAUGACCAAUAUGAUGGUAUUAAGAGAUGGGGCCUUUAAGAGGUCAUGAGCUCUCCUUCUCUCAUGAUUAAGGCCUUUAUAAAAGGGGCUUUGUGUAGUGUUCACCUCAUUGCCUUUCCACCUUUUGCCAUGUGAAGACCUAGUAUUACUCCCCUCCAGAAGAUGCAACAAUAAGAUGCCAUCUUGAAAGCAGAGAGCAUCCCUCACCAAACAACCAAACCUAUCAGGGCCUUGAUUUUGGACUUCUUAGCCUCCAGAAUGAUGAGAAAAUAAAUUUGCUAUUUAUAAAUUAUCCAGUCUCUCAGAUAUUUUGUUAUAGCAGCACAAAACAGACUAAAGACACCAUGUCACUGUUUUCACAAGCCUGGGCAACACAUCAUGCAGAUAAAUACCCUUCAUGUGGGAAAAGCAGUGUGAAGUGAGCUCUCACCUUCACUUCAGACCCUGGCAGCAGGCCUACCCCAGUAAGCCCAGACUCUAGGACCACCCCAGCACCAGGAGUCUCCAGGCCAACUGUCCCAGUCUCCAGACCAGCUCAUGUGGUCACAGGCUCCAGGCCCAACCGAGAGACAGGCUUGACCUUGCAGCCUUAGGUUCUAGGCCAGCCCCUUGGACACAAGCUCCAGGCCUCCAAAGGUAAACAACAUUCUGCUAUCUCUCACUAUGGAUUAACUUUGUUUAUUUUUGAACUUCCUAGAAGUGGAAUUAUAUAGUAUAUUCGCUUUGGUGUCUCAUUUCUUUCCAGAGUCCUUAUUUUUGAUGACCAUGUUAUACUUUGUCCAACAAACCUGCCAAGUCUUCUGUCCUAUUGCCCUAGGCUCUUGCUAAAUAACCUAUGUUGAUGAUGUAAUGUGUUAAUUCUUGUUAAAAUAUUAGUGGGUGAAAAUGCCCUACCACUGCACCAACCCACCCCCUGCAGACUCAGGCUCUAGUCCCAUCCUAGCACCAAGCCAGCUCCCAUGGUCCCAGGCUCCAGACUGCCCCCUGUGGCCCUAUGCUCCAGAAUAUCUAGGUUCCAGGCCCACCCCAGUAGAAUUUGAUACUAGUCCAGCCCUCAAAGACCCAAGCUCCAGACUGGACCCCAUCAACCCAAGACCAAAGCCUGCCCGCAUGGACUCAGCCUCCAGGCCCACUACCAUGGACCCAGGUGCCAGGGCACCCCACUGAACCCUGGUGCUAGGUCAGCUCCUGUAAACUCAGGACCAGGCCCAUCUCCAUGGACCCAGGCACCAGGCCUCCCCUAGCAACAGGUUUUCCCUCAUGGACUCGGGCUUUAGGCUGGCCCCUGUAGACACAGGUUUCAGCCUACCUAUGCAUGCCUACCCAUGCAGGCCCAAUCUCUAGGCCCAACCCAGUGGAGUCCAGCACUAGGCUGGCCUCUGUGAACCCAAGAUCCAAGCCUAACCACCUAGAUUCGGGUUCAACGCCUGCCCCACUGGACCCAUGAGCCAGACUCAGCCAAGUGGACCUAGCCACCAGACCAGCCUGCCUGAGGAUUCCAACAGCAAGCUUGCAAGCAGACCCCACUAAAUGGCUCACCAAGAAUCUCUGGAUGGUCUGACUGGUAAAGGACUUUCCCUGCCAAAGCCAGUCUGUAAAGAUGGGAAAAGCUGCCUGCUUCUUUUUAAAAAUUAUAUUUUAUUUUUUAGAGACAGAGUCUUACUAUGUUGCCAGGCUGGAGUAUAGUGGAUAUUCAUAGGCACAAUCAUAGCACACUGCUGCCCCAAACUCCUGGGCUCAGGUGAUCCUCCUGCCUUAGCCUCCUGAGUAGCUGGGACUUCUGUGCCUGGUUAAGAGGUUCCUACUUCUCCAAAUAGACAAACACCAACACAACACCACAAGGAUUACAAAUAAAACUGCCUGACAAAGAAUUGAAAAUAAUUGUCUUCAAGAAACUUAGUAAGCUCCCAGAGAACACAGCUAGACAACUAAACAAUUAUCAGGAAAACAAUACAUAAGGAAAUGAGUUCAACAAAGAGAAGGCAUUUAAAAAUUCUGGAGCUGAAGAACACAAUGCUUGAACUGAAAAAUUCCAUAGAUAGAUUUAACAACAGAUUUGAUCAGUCAGAAGAAAGAACCAGUGAGACUGAAAACAGGUCAUUUGAAAUUAGAGCAGAGGAAAAAGAAUGAUAAAGAGUGAAGAAAGCCUAUGGGACUUAGAGAACACCAUCAUGUAAAACAAUAUUUGUGUGUAAGUUUUCUGGAAGGAGUAGAAAAAGAAAAGGGGAGAAAGCUUAUUUUAAGAAAUAGUAGCAGAAAACUUCCCAAAUCUGGAGAGGGAAAUGAAUGUCCAGAUUCAUGAAGCUCGAAGAACCCCAAAUAUAUUAAAUAUAAAGAGAUCUACCCCAAGACACAUUAUAAUCAAAUUCUCAAAAGCCAAAGACAAAGAUUAUUUUGAAAGCAGCGAGGAAAGACACGUCACAUGCAAUGGAACCCAUAUGAGAUGGUCAGUGAAUUUCUCAGCAGAAACCUUGCAGAUCUUGAGAGAGUGGAAUGACAUAUUUAAAGUGCUGAAAGAAAAAAAAAAACCUGAAAACCAAGAAUGCUACCCCUGGUAAAUCUUUCCUUCAGAAAUGAAGGAGCGAUAAAGACUUUCUCAGACAAACAAAAGCUGUGGGAGUUCAUCACCACUAGACAUACCUUACAAAAACUGUAAAGGGAGUUCAAGUUGAAACAAAAUGACACUAACUUUCUAGAAGCUGAAGCUGUGAAAAAUUUUUAAAAAUGACAUAAUAUAAAAACAUAGAAGUAUAAAACUGUAAAGGUAAGAAUACAGUCAAAUUCAGAAUACUCUAAUACUAAUGAUGGUAAUGAUAGUACAUAAAUAACUCUAGUAAAAAGUUAAAAGUCGUGAGUGUUAAAAAUAAAUAUGGCAACAAUAAUUUGUUAGUGGAUACACAUUAUAUAAAACAUGCAAAUUGUGACACCAGUACAUAAAAUGUGAGAGGAGGAGAAGUUAAAAGUGUAGAGUUUUGUAUGUGGUUGAAGUUAAGUUGUUAUUAGAUCCAAAUAGACUGUUAUAAGAUGUUUUAUGUAAGCCUUAUGGUAACCACACACAAGAAAAGUCUGUAGUAAAUAAAAGAUAAAGAAGACGAAAUCAAAGCACACCACUACAAAAAUAAAUCAUUAGGCUGGGCACAGUGGCUCACGCCUGUAAUCCCAGCAUUUUGGGAGGCCGAGGCGGGCAGAUCAUGAGGUCAGGAUAUCGAAACCAUCCUGGCUAACAUGGUGAAACCCCGUCUCUACUAAAAAUACAAAAAAUUAGCUGGGCAUGGUGGCGGACGCCUGUAGUCCCAGCUACUCGGGAGGCUGAGGCAGGAGAAUGGCAUGAACCUGGGAGGCAGAGCUUGCAGUGAGCCGAGAUCGCACCACUGCACUCCAGCCUGGGCAACAGAGCGAGACUCCAUCUCAAAAAAAGAAUAAAAAUAAAAAUAAAAAUAAAUAAAUCCUUAAAUCACAAAAGAAGUCAGCAAGAGAGAAAGAAAGGAACAAAGGAACUACAAAACAGAUUUAAAUGAUUAACAAAAUGGCAAUAUUAAGUUCUUCCUAUCAAUAAUUAAUUGUAAGUGGAUUCAGUUCUUCAACAAUAGAGUGGCUGAAUGGAUAAAAGGAAAACAAGAUUCAAUUAUAUGCUACCUACCAGAUACUCACUUAAGCUUUAGGGACACACAUAGGCUGAAAGUGAAGGGAUAGAAAAAGAAGAUAUUCCAUGCAAAUGGUAACCAAGGGUGAACAGCAGUGGUUAUACUUAUAUUGGACAAAAUAUACUUUAAGUCAAAAACUUUCACAAGGACAAAGAAGCUAAUUAUAUCAUAGUAAAGAGAUCAGUCUAUCAAGAGGAUAUAACAAUUAUGAAUACUAUGCACUCAACAUUGGUGUACCUACAUAUUUAGCAAAUAUUAACUGAACAGAGAAAUAGAAAGCAAUAUAAUAAUAGUAGAGUACUUCAAUACCUCACUUUCAAAAAUGGAUAGAUAUAGAUCAUCCAGACAGAAUAUUGAUAAGGAAACAGUGGACUUGAAAUACAGUAUAAUAUAAACCAAAUGGAUCUAACAGAUACGUACAGGACAUUCCAUCCAACAGCAACAGAAUACACAUUCUUUUCAAGUGUACGUGAAACUUUCUCAAGGAUAGAUCAUAUGUUAGGCUGUAAAACAAGUCUUAACAAAUUUAAAAAGAUUGAAAUAAUUAUCAAUAUCUUUUUCAACGACAAUGUUAUGAAAUGCUGUAAAAUGUUAGGAAAACAACAGGAAGAAAAUUAGAAAAUACACAAAUUUGUGUAAAUUAGACCACAUACACUCGAAUAACCAAUAGGUCAAAGAAGUCUUCAAAAGAAAAAUAAAAGGCCAGGUGCCUGUAAUCCCAGCACUUUGGGAGGCUGAGGUGGGUGGAUCACCUGAGGUCAGGAGUUCGAGACCAGCCUGGCCAACAUGAUGAAAUUCCGUCUCUACGAAAAAUACAAAAAUUGGCCAAGCAUGGAGGCAGGCACCUGUAAUCCCAGCUACUCGGGAGGCUGAGGCAGGAGAAUCACUUGAACCCAGGAGGCAGAGGUUGCAGUGAGCCAAGAUCGCGCUACCACACUCCAGCCUGGACAACAAGAGUGAAACUCCAUCUCAAAAAAAAAAAAAAAAGAGAAAUGAAAAAUAUCUUGAGACAAAUGAAAACAAAACCACAAUAUAACAAAACUUACUGGAUGCAACAAAAGCAGUCCUAAGAGGGAAGUUUAUAACAAUAAAUGCCUACUUAAGAAAAAAGAAAGAUCUCAAAUAAACAACCUAUCUUUAUAUCUCAAGGAACUAGAAAAAGAAGAAUGAAUUAAGGCUGAAGUUAGCAGAAGGAAAGAAAAUACAAAUCCAAGCAGAAAUAAGUGAAACAGACUAGAAAUAUUACAAAAGAUCAAGGAAACUAAGAGUUGAGUUUUUUUAAAUAUAAGCAAAAUUGACAAACUUUAGCUAGACUAAUAAAAAAAGAGAGAAGACUCAAAAUAUUAAAUUAUAAAUGAAAGAACAAAAAUUGAAAAAAGCCAGGCACACUGUUGUGCAGCUGUAACCCCACCUACUCAGGAGGCUGGGGUGGGAGGAUCUCUUGAACCCAGGAGUUUUAGGCCAGCCUAAACAAUGUAGUGAGACCCUGUCUCAAAACAAACAAUUAUAAUUGAAAGAGGAGAUAUUAUAACUGAUAUCACUGAAAUAUGAGGAAUCAUAAGAGACAGCUAUGAAAAUUAUAUGCCAACAAUUGGAUAACUUAGAAGAAAUAGAUAAAUUUCUAGAAACAUAAAAUUUACCAAGGCCGAAUAAUGAAGAAAUAGAAAAUCUGAACAGACAAAUGAUAAGCAAGAAGAUUGAAUUGAUAAUCAAAAAAACCUCCCAAAAAGAAAAACCCAGGAUCUGAUGGCUUUAUUGGUUAAUUCUACCCAACAUUUAAACAAAAAUUAAUGCCAAUUGUUUUCAAACCCUUAAAAAUUCAAGAGCAGGGAGCACUUACAUCAUGAGAACAGCAUUACCUUGACACCAAAGCUAGAUAGUUGGACACUAUAAGAAAAGAAAUUAUAAGCCAAUAUCCAUGAUGAACAUAGAUGCAAAAAUCCUUAACAAAAUACCAGCAAACUGAAUUCAAUUACACAUUAAAAGGAUCAUACGCCACAAUCAAGUGGAUUUAUCUCUGGGCUGCAAAGGUAGUUCAACACAUGCAAAUCAAUAAAUGUGAUACACCACAAUAACCAAAUGAAGGACAAUCAUAUGUUCAGUUCAAUAGAUGCAAAAAAAAAAAAAAGCAUUUGACAAAAUUCGACAUCCUUUCAUGAUUAAAAAUUCUCAACAUUAGCUAUAGGAGGAAUGUGCCUGAAAGGCCAUACAUCACAAGCCUAGAGCCAAUAUAAUACUCUAUGGUGGAAAGCUAAAAGCUUUUCCUCUAAGAUGAGGAGCAAGACAAGAAAACCUACUCUUCUCACUUCUAUUCAGCAUGCUACUAGAAGUCCUAGCUAGAGCAAUUAGGCAAGAAAAAGAUAUAAAAGACAAGAAAACCCACUCUUGUCACUUCUAUUCAAAAUACUACUGGAAAUCCUAGCUAGAGCAAUUAGGCAAGAAAAAGAAAAGGCAUUCAAAUUGGAAGAAGUAAAACAGUCUCUGUUUACAGAUGACAUAAUCUUGUAUAUAGAAAACCCUAAAGACUUCACCAAAGAACUGUUACAGCUAAUAAAUGAAUUCAGUAAGCUGCAAGAUACAAAAUCAAAUACAAAAAUAAGUUGUGUUUCUAUACACUAACAAUGAACUGAGAAGGAAAUUAAGAAGAUAAUCCUAUUUACAAUAGCAUAAAGAAAUACUUCAAAUACAUUUAACCAGGGAGGCAAAAGAUUUGUAUACUGAAAACUCUCAAACAUUGAUGAAAGAAACUGAAAUAGACACAGAUAAAUGGAAAGAUAUUCUAUUUUCAUGGAUUGGAAGAAUCGAUAAUGUUAAAAUGUCCAUACUACUCAUAUAAACCUAAAGAUUCAGUGCAAUCACUCUCAAAAUUCCCAUGGCAUUUCUCACAGAUAGAAAAGCUAUCCUAAAAUUUGUAAGUAACCAUAAAAGAUCGCAACUAGCCAAAGCAAUCUUGAGCAAGAACAAAGCUGGAGGCAUCAUGCUACCUAAUUUCAAAAUAUACUAUAAAACUAUAAUAAUCGAAACAGCGUGGUCCAGGCACAAAAACACAUAGGCCAAUUGAACAGAAUAGAGAGCUCAGAAAUAAAUCCACGCACUUACAGUCAAUUGAUCUUUGACAAAGGUGCCAAGAAAACACAGUGGGGGAAUAGACAGUCUCUAAUCAGUAGUGGUAUGGAAACCAUAUAUUCACAUGCAGAAAAAUGAAAUUGUACUCAUGUCACUUCAUAUGCAAAAAUCAAGUCAAAAUGGAUUAAAGCUUAAAUGUAAGACCUGAAACUAUAAAAAUACUGGAAGAAAAAGAAAACAUGAGGGAGAAAUUCUUGGUAUUGGUCUGGGUACUGAUUUUUUUGAUAUGACACAGCACAGGCAACAAAAGCAAAAAUAGUCAAAUAGGGUUAUAUUAAACCAGAAAGCUUCUGGACAUGAAAGGAAGGACAUAGAGUGAAGAGACAACCUAUGGAACAGGAGAAAGUAUUUCCAAACUAUGCCUCAAAUAAAGCAUUAAUAUCUGAAUUAUAUAAGGAACUCAAACAAAUCAGUAGCAGGAAAGUAAAUAAUCCAAUUAAAGAAGUAAAAGGACUUGAACAGACAUUUCUCAAAAGAAGAUGUGCAAAUGGCUAGCAGGUAUAUGAAAAAAUUCUCAACACCACUAAUUAUCAGCAAAAUGCAAAUUAAAACCACAGUGAGGCUCGGCACAGUGGCUCAAGCAUGUAAUUCUAGCAGUCUGGGAGGCUGAGGCAGGUGGAUCACUUGAGGCCAGGAUUUGGAGACCGGCCUGGCAAGCAUGGUGAAACCCUGACUCCACUAAAAAUACAAAAAUUAGCCAUCCAUGGUGGUGCAUGCCUGUAAUCCCACCUACUUGGGAGGCUGAGGCAUGAGAAUUGCUUGAACCCGGGAGGUGGAGGUUGCAAUAGGCCAAGAUCAUGCCACUGCACUCCAGCCUGGGUGACAGAGCGAGACCAUGCCUCAAAAACAACACAAUGAGAUGUCUCCUCACACCCGUUAGAAUGGUUAAUAUAAAAAAGACAAAAGAUAGCAAGUGUUGGUGAGGCUGUGGAGAAAAGGAAACCCUUGUGCAUUGUUGUUGGCAAUGUAAAUUGGUAUAGCCAUUAUGGAAAAUAGUAUGGAGCCUUCUCAAAAAAAAAAAAAAAAAAAAAAAAAAACAGAAAUAGAACUACCAUAUGAUUCAGCAAUUCCACUUCUGGGUAUGUAUCCAAAGGAAAUGAAAUCAGUAUGUUAAGAGGUAUGUGCACUCCCAUGUUCACUGCAGCAUUAUUCACAAUAGCCAAGAUGUGGAAUCAACAUAGUGCCCAUCAAUGGAUGAAUGGAAAAAAUGUGAUACACACACACACACACACACACACACACAAUGGAAUAUUAGCCAGCCUUAAAAAAGGAAAUAUUGGGCCAGGUGCAGUGGCUCACACCUGUAAUCCCAGCACUUUGGGAGGCUGAGGCGAGCAGAUCAUGAGGUCAGGAGUUUGAGACCAGCCUGGGCAACAUGGUGAGACCCUGUGUUAGCUCUACUAGAAAUACAAAAAAUUAGCCGGGCGUGGUGGUACGCAUCUGUAGUCCCAGCUACUCAGGAGGCUGAGGCAGGAGAAUCGCUUGAACCUGGGAGGCGGAGGUUGCAGUGAACUGAGAUCGCGCCACUGCACUCCAGCCUCGGCGACAGAGCAAGACUCCGUCUCAAAAAAAAGGAAAUCUUGUCUUUUGGGACAACAUGGAUGAGCUUGGAGGACAUUUUACUAAGUGAAAUGAGUCAGGCACACAAAGACAAAUACUGUGUGAUCUCGCGUACAUGUGAAAUCUAAAAAGGUAGAACUAGAGGCAGAAAGUAAAAUGGUGUUUGCCAGGAGCUAGGAGGUAGGAGGAAUGGGAAGAUGUUGGUGAAGGGUACAGAGUUUCACUUAUGCAGGAUGAAUAAGUUUUGGAGAUUUAAUGUCCAACAUGGUGACUACAGUUAAUAAGACACUAUUAUAUAUGUGAAAUUUGCUAAGACGGAUCUUAAAUGUUCUCACCACAUACACACACAACAGGUAACUAUGUGAGGUAAUGGAUAUGCUAAUUAACUUGAUUGCAGUAAUCAUUUCACAAUAUACAUGUAUCAAAAUAUCACCUUGUAUACCUUAAAUAUAUUCAUUUUUUAUUUGUCAAUUAUACCUCAAUAAUGCUGGAGAAAACAAUUGACUUAUUUUGUAUAAAAUAUAUACUAGUUAUUAGAAUCAUGGAAAAUGGUGGUUUGAUUUACUAAUUUAAUGAUUCAAUUAUUAAAUUUUUCUCAAGGCUUUUUUUGGGGAAAUUUCUUUAUUCUAAAUUCUGAGCUCCAAUUAGAAACAUCAGAUGUAUGUGUUGAGGGUCUAUUAUGUUAAUGAAUCAAAUAUUUAAGUGUUUAUGUAUCACACUGUGCAAGGCACUGGAGAUAUGAUGGUGAAAAGUACAGAAUUUCCCUGCCCAUAUGGAACUGUGGUAAGGCUAAAAAUAAAUUAAAUGACAGAUUUCUAAAAGAUGUUACGAAUAGAAUGAGGCAGAGAGAGAGAAUACUCAGUGGUUGAGGUAACUACUAUCAGGAAAGGCUUUUUUUUAAAAACAAACAACAACAAAAAAACAAGGUCUUGUGCUGUCACCUGGGCCGGAGUGCAGUAGUGCCUCCACCUCCCAGCCUCAAGAAAUCGUCCCACCUCAGCCUCCUGAAAAACUGGGACUACAGGUGCAAGCCACCAUGCCCAACUAAUUUUUUCAUUUUUGUAGAGAUAGGGUCUUUCUAUGUUGCCCAGGCUGGUCUCAAACUUCUGGACUCAAGUGAUCCUCCCACCUCAUCCUCCUAAAGUGAAGGGAUUACAGGUGUGAGCCACCAUGCCCAGCAGGUAAGGCAUUUCUGAGAAGAACUUUAAGUAUCUGUUCUUUGCUAUAUUCCUAAUACUAGGCACAGUGCCUGGUACAUAGUCAAUACUGAAUGUAUAUUUGAUGAAUUAAAGGAUGGAUUAUACCAGGAAAUGGCUUUGAAGAGAGGCAUUGACCAGAGAUGAAAUACCAUCAGCUUUUCUUUUUUGACUGGUCAUAGAUGUUUGGGUUGGUCUGGCCUAAAGGUAGAAAUACGCAAUGGGAAAGAGAGCAUAGGAAAACUAUUGGAGAUAUAUAUAUAUAUGGCAUAGUAAUAUCCUUUUGAUAUGGGCCAGCUUAUAAAGUCCAAUCCAGGCAGAAAGAUUGAUGCGAAUGUUGACUCUGUCAGUUCAAGUCUACUAUCAUUUAGUUUACUACUAAAGUACCAAACAAGCAGUGCAAGGGAUAUGUACACCAAAUAAGCAUGUAAGUGAAUAGAUGCAGCUCUUUAAUGCUUCCUUGUACUUGACAAAUGCCCAAGUUCGGUAAUUGAGGCAGCCCAUGAGGAAUAAGAUCAAAGGGGUUCAAAACUACAGACCUUGGUAACAUUAGGCUGGGUGAGGGGGCCAUAGUUAAGGAUCUAAUUCACUAAUAUAUAAAAAAUUUGUUGUUGUACUAUAGUAAUGUAUUUACACAGUCUGUUCCUUCUGCACCCUCUGGCCAAUACUAGAGCUGUAGGCCUGCCAAACCUUCCUUGAAGCAAAGUCUAAUUGAAGACCUAAGAGUAAGAUGCAAACUUACGUGGAAUAAUUAAAUGUUAGUUUAUAACUGUAAUAAUAAUGUAAUAAGAAAGGAGGGAA
rnacentral:lncRNA from 10 species